GCCUGGGUGGCUCAGUCGGUUAAGCGUCCGACUUCAGCCCGGGUCACGAUCUCACGGUCUGUGAGUUCGAGCCCCACGUCAGGCU
rnacentral:tRNA from 1 species